rnacentral:rRNA from 1 species
UACGUAGGGUGCGAGCGUUUAAUCGGAAUUACUGGGCGUAAAGCGUGCGCAGGCGGUUUUGUAAGCCAGAUGUGAAAGCCCCGGGCUCAACCUGGGAAUGGCAUUUGGGACUGCAAGGCUUGAGUGCGGCAGAGGGAGACUGGAAUUCCUGGUGUAGCAGUGAAAUGCGUAGAUAUCAGGAGGAAUACCGAUGGCGAAGGCAGUUCUCUGGGCCGUAACUGACGCUGAGGAGCGAAAGCGUGGGGAGCGAACAGG